ACAAUUCCUUCUUUCCCUUCUCACUCGUUCUAUUAACUCCCCCACACCCUUCUCUCUUUGCUUCCUUCAUAUCUCUUUCAAAUCCUUAAUGGCAGAUUAAACCCUCUAUUCAUUUCCUCAAAUCUUCAAUCUUUUUCUAUUCUUUUCUGAUCUGAUUCACAUAACAGAUCCAAAGUUUCAAUCUUUUUGACUCUUUCCAACAUAAAUUUAUCAUCUUUUUCAUGGGUUUUUAUUCAUUUAUGUAAUCAUCCAAUCAACUUAUUUGUUUUUCAGAAAUGAGAGUUUGUUUCAAGAUUCAUAUGAUAUUUGUUUCUUGUCAUCAGUUCAUCUUCAUUUGAUAUCAGUCGUAUCACACAAGAUCGUUCAAAAAUCGUAUCUUCUUUAGUAUUUUUUUUUUUUUUUACAAUGGGUAAAGGUAAGGGGAAAGCUAAAAAAAGUUCCACUAUCGCACACCGUGAGGACCGAAGCGGGGAAGAAGAAAAACCGCCUGUUAAACGAAGAGGACGGCCCACAAAAUCACACAAAGAAGAAGAAGAAAGCGAGAAGAUAAACGAAAAAAACGACACUAAACUUGAAAACAAGAGAAAGAGCCCAUCUUUAGAGACUGAAGAAAGCCUGGAUAUGUUGAAAGAUGAAAACGGUAUGGUGCCCGAAGCAAAUGGGGUCGAGUUAACGAAAGCUGUGGGGUUUAGACAUAAUGGAAGCAGGAGGAAAAACAAGCCGAGAAGGGCGGCUGAAGUCGGGGUUAGUGCCUGUGAAGUUUGCAGUUGGUUGGUGAUAUCGUAAAAGGUUUCUUUUUGUACUGGAUUUUAUGAACUUUUGUAAUGCUUUAGAUAUAUGAAUUUGCUAGAAUUUGAUCUACAUUGAGAAUUUUUGCAGAAGGUUUAUAAUAUCAACCAAGUUUUGGUAAA